rfam:Shuttleworthia satelles DSM 14600 genomic scaffold Scfld0, whole genome shotgun sequence.
GGUCAGUCGAUAAGACCUAAAACAGUCAGUCGGAAGCGAGCAGUUACAGGCUUAAAACAACUUA